CUCUUGUGAAUCUAAAGGAAGUGCUGAUAACUCAGAAUUCACCAGAACAAGACUUCUGGGCUAUGAAAGGAUUUGUGAGAUCAUUAUUGAAAAUGUGCAUUGUUCAUUUAACCCAAUGAGUUGGAUUGCGCCCUAAUGCUCCCAACUUUAAUAUUUUACUAUUUUAUUUUUGAAUGGAAAAACUGAAGUUUUACCAUCAUUGGUUACUACAGAUUUCCCAUGUGGUACUGUAAAUUAGUAAAAAGUGUGAUGUUUUAUACUUACAGUACCAGGCAAAUACCAUUAAAUGGUAAAUAUAAAUUUAAAGUUUAACAUGGUUUUUACCAAUUUGGCAAUAGGAGGAAAUGAGUAAUAACCAUUAGUAUAAUUACAAAGGUGAUUAUCGAAAAUUGUGGCCGCUGAUUGGUCAAGCGACCUCGGAUUAUUACGCGAUAAUCACCUAAGCGUUUUUUUUUUCAAAAUGGCGGCGAGUUGUUUUGCCAAAGUGAC